UACGUAGGGGGCGAGCGUUGUCCGGAUUUAUUGGGCGUAAAGAGCUCGUAGGCGGUUUGGUAAGUCGGAUGUGAAAUCUCCACGCUCAACGUGGAGGGGCCAUUCGAGACUGCCAUGACUAGAGUCCGGUAGAGGAGUGUGGAAUUCCCGGUGUAGCGGUGAAAUGCGCAGAGAUCGGGAGGAACACCCGUAGCGAAGGUGGCACUCUGGGCCGGUACUGACGCUGAGGAGCGAAAGCGUGGGGAGCAAACAGGG
rnacentral:rRNA from 1 species